rnacentral:rRNA from 1 species
UACCAGACUCCUACGGGAGGCAGCAGUGAGGAAUAUUGGUCAAUGGGCGGGAGCCUGAACCAGCCAAGUCGCGUGAGGGAUGACGGCCCUAUGGGUUGUAAACCUCUUUUGUCGGAGAACAAAACCCGGGACGUGUCCCGGACUGCGUGUAUCCGAAGAAAAAGCAUCGGCUAACUCCGUGCCAGCAGCCGCGGUAAUACGGAGGAUGCGAGCGUUAUCCGGAUUUAUUGGGUUUAAAGGGUGCGUAGGCGGUCCGUUAAGUCAGCGGUAAAAUUGCGGGGCUCAACCCUGUCGAGCCGUCGGAACUGGCAGUCUUGAGUGGGCGAGAAGUAUGCGGAAUGCGUGGUGUAGCGGUGAAAUGCAUAGAUAUCACGCAGAACGCCGAUUGCGAAGGCAGCAUACCGGCGCCCAACUGACGCUGAGGCACGAAAGCGUGGGGAUCGAACAGGAUUAGAUACCCUAGUA